AACGAACGCUGGCGGCGUGCCUAACACACGCAAGUCGAGCGAGAAAGGGGAGCAAUCCCUGAGUAAAGCGGCAAACGGGUGAGUAACACGUGGGCAACCUGCCCUCGAGUGGGGAAUAACAUCUCGAAAGAGGUGCUAAUACCGCGUAGCAUCCGGACUUCCUUGGAGGUCCGGAUCAAAGGUAGGGAUCUUCGGACCUGCCGCUCGAGGAGGGGCCCGCGCCUGAUUAGCUAGUUGGNGGGGUAACGGCCUACCAAGGCGACGAUCAGUAGCCGGCCUGAGAGGGUGACCGGCCACACUGGAACUGAGACACGGUCCAGACUCCUACGGGAGGCAGCAGUGAGGAAUUUUGGACAAUGGGCGCAAGCCUGAUCCAGCAACGCCGCGUGGACGAUGAGGGUCUUCGGAUCGUAAAGUCCUGUCGAGUGGGAAGAAGU
rnacentral:rRNA from 1 species